rnacentral:hammerhead_ribozyme from 1 species
AUUCAGUUGACGAGUCCCAAAUAGAAGGAAAUGCGCGUCCUAGAU